AUUGAACGCUGGCGGCAGGCUUAACACAUGCAAGUCGAGCGGAGAUGAGGUGCUUGCACCUUAUCUUAGCGGCGGACGGGUGAGUAAUGCUUAGGAAUCUGCCUAUUAGUGGGGGACAACAUUCCGAAAGGAAUGCUAAUACCGCAUACGUCCUACGGGAGAAAGCAGGGGAUCUUCGGACCUUGCGCUAAUAGAUGAGCCUAAGUCGGAUUAGCUAGUUGGUGGGGUAAAGGCCUACCAAGGCGACGAUCUGCAGCGGGUCUGAGAGGAUGAUCCACCACACUGGGACUGAGACACGGCCCAGAAUCCUCAGGGGGGCAGCAGUGGGGGAUAUUGGACAAUGGGGGAGACCCUGAUCCAGCCAUGCCGCGUGUGUGAAGAAGGCCUUAUGGUGGUAAAGCACUUUAAGCGAGGAGGAGGCUACUGAGACUAAUACUCUUGGAUAGUGGACGUUACUCGCAGAAUAAGCACCGGCUAACUCUGUGGCAGCAGCCGCGGUAA
rnacentral:rRNA from 1 species